GCAUCUAUCCUGUCAUUUACAGGCCUUUGCAUUUCGAUAAUCAGAUAAUCUGUGAGAGACUUGCCUGUGAUGCUUCUAUCCGACUUUGUUUCGUUUAAAGUGGUAAAAGAGACGUAAGCGGCAAUACUUGCUUCUCCGGCAGCGGUUCCUGCCUCUUUUAUAACACUGGAGGGAAGCUCCAAAGUGCUUUGAUAUGGCAUCAUGCAUGCCGGGGUGCCUUCUCGAGAAGUCAUUGAGGGGCUCAAUAUUUGUCCUUCAUGAAUUGCUGCAGUAGCAAAAUACAACGCACUUCAGUGUUCUGAGCAAUGAAUGAAGCAUCUGCGCUUUCGAAAUUGAAUCAUUUGGUUUAUUCCAAUUCUGGCACAGGUUGUCAAUUCCACUGAAAGUGCUGUCACUGAGAGUGUGCUUUGGUAAUUGAUGUAGAGAGUUGCAUAUUUUUUCUGAACAAAUGUGAUAGAUGAGUAUUAGGUGUGCAACACAUUUCUCAUGAAGGCUGAUCUUGUAACAAAUCGCUAGCGAGGAACUUUAUUUUUGGAGCCUCCUGUUUCUUUAUACUUAUUUAAUAAUGAAAUAGUGCACCCUUCUUUUGCAUAAUA